CCAGAGAACUUUCCAGAGAUGGGAUUGGUGCCUUCGGGAACUCUGAGACAGGUGCUGCAUGGCUGUCGUCAGCUCGUGUCGUGAAAUGUUGGGUUAAGUCCCGCAACGAGCGCAACCCUUAUCCUUUGUUGCCAGCGGUUAGGCCGGGAACUCAAAGGAGACUGCCAGUGAUAAACUGGAGGAAGGUGGGGAUGACGUCAAGUCAUCAUGGCCCUUACGAGUAGGGCUACACACGUGCUACAAUGGCGCAUACAAAGAGAAGCGACCUCGCGAGAGCAAGCGGACCUCAUAAAGUGCGUCGUAGUCCGGAUUGGAGUCUGCAACUCGACUCCAUGAAGUCGGAAUCGCUAGUAAUCGUGGAUCAGAAUGCCACGGUGAAUACGUUCCCGGGCCUUGUACACACCGCCCGUCACACCAUGGGAGUGGGUUGCAAAAGAAGUAGGUAGCUUAACCUUCGGGAGGGCGCUUACCACUUUGUGAUUCAUGACUGGGGUGAAGUCGUAACAAGGUAAGCGUAGUGCU
rnacentral:rRNA from 1 species